GCAGAAUCAGCGGGGAAAGAAGACCCUGUUGAGUUUGACUCUAGUCUGGCUUUGUGAAAUGGCGUAGGAGGUGUAGACAAGUGGGAGCCCUGCGACCUUGAAAAACCACUACUCUUGAUGUCAUUUUACUUACCUCGUGAGGUAGCGACCAUUCGUGGUUCUAGCUUUGCUUGCUAAGCGAGAGACAGAGCCAGGUAGGGAGUUCGGCUGGGGCGGCACAUCUGUUAAACAGUAACACAGGUGUCCUAUGGCAAGCUCAAAGAGAACAGAAAUCUCUUGUAGACCAAAAGGGGAAAAGCUUGCUUGAUUUUGAUUCUCAGUACGAAUACAAACCGCGAAAGCGUGGCCUAUCGAUCCUUUGCUUUUUAAAAGUCUUAAACCAGAGGUGUCAGAAAAAUUACCACAGGGAUAACUGGCUUGUUGCAGCCAAGCGUUCAUAGCGACG
rnacentral:rRNA from 1 species